CAGUAGCCGCGGGAAUACGUAGGGGGCGAGCGUUGUCCGAAGUUAAUGGGCGUAAAGAGCGCGUAGGCUGGUCUUUAAGUGAGUGGUGAAAGGUUCGGGCUCAACCCGGACACUGCCUUUCAUACUGGGGACCUUGAGUGUGGGAGAGGCGAGUGGAAUGGUCGGUGUAGCGGUGAAAUGCGUAGAGAUGUGGAGGAACACCAGUGGCGAAGGCGACUCUCUGGUCUGUAACUGACGCUGAGGAGCGAAAGCGUGGGGAGCGAUCAGGAUUAGAUACCCGGGUAGUCCCUGUCUCUUAUAC
rnacentral:rRNA from 1 species